GUGAUGUGGGGUCCAGGCGCGGGGGUAAGACGAAGUGGGGAAAACAUGUUGGGAAGUAGUGUGCUUGAAGGGUGCGUAGGCGGUAAUCGAAGUAGGGGGGGAAAGGCCGCGGCUCAACCGAGGAAUGGCGCCCUAAACUGGAUGGCUGGAGGGAGAUAGGGGUGUGUGUGACUUCCGGUGGAGCGGUGAAAUGUGUUGAUAUCGGAAGGAGCGCCGGUGGCGAAAGCGACACACUGGGUCUCAACUGACGCUGAGGCACGAAAGCCAGGGGAGCAAACGGGAUUAGAUACCCCGGUAGUC
rnacentral:rRNA from 1 species